CUUUCGUCGCAUCGCGACUAUAAAUAUCUCCCUAAUUCUCGUUUCUUGUUUUCUUUUCGAGUGUCUAGAGAGAUCAAACAUCAAAUUACUCUGCCUCUUCGUCGCCCAGUACCAGCGUUUUCGGUCUCCUCCCGCGAGUCAUCGCAUGCUAUCCAUUUCUUCUGUUCAGUUCGAUCACUUCCUGCAACGGCAUGGAAUAUCGCCUCGGAAGAUAGUUCUCAGAUCUGUUUAGUUAGCUUUAAUCCGCGAGGAGAAGAAAACUGAAAAAAGUGAGAGUCCGAGCUCAACUGUUCCUCUGUGCCUGCGGAUUACCAGACUGCUGGGACAGUUUACUCUAGUCGAGCAAGAGAGAUUCGAGCAAGAGAGGAAAGGGUAACGAAAAGAGAACGACCAUUGAAGAGUGAUGGAAUCAAUUGACGAAUGGUAACAAGCAAUUGGCGAAGGGACGAUGACAGGUGGUGGCAAGCAAUGAAAGCUGGGAGGAAAGGAGGAGAAGGGCAGUGGGACCAAGAGCUGUUGAACGAGGCAAGAGAGAAGAAAUGAGGGUAAACGGUGACGGAAACGACCAACAAACCGACCGGCAAACAACGAAGGGACAAAAACCGGCGGCUGCUGUGCCAUGCAAGGGGGACUUUAAGAUGCUGAAUCAUCUGUUUGAUUUUGUUCAGCAACAUCAAUCGCUCAAGAAUCCCAGAUUCAUGCUCUCACGACUGUUGUCUAGGAUCUUUCUUUCAGCAUGUCAGGUAAAUAGAAGGUUUGUGUAACAUCUCUUUUACGCAAAAUAAUUUGCAUAUAUAAUUUUAAUGUUUGUCUCAAUGAGGUAUAAAUAUGUUCCUAUCACCUUGACACUAGUAUCGAUGGGUACUAAUACGUCCAAAUUCACAAUCAUUCUGGAUGCAAAUAGCAAAGCCAGUAAUUCACUAGGUCUGUUCUUCUUAUCCUAGUCAAAUUUCUAAACCCUCCUCUCCUCCCCACCCCCACAUUCCACAACAUACUCGUACUAGCAAUAACUGUGAUGUGUAAUACCUAUUAGUCAUCAUCGUAUCAGAAUCUUUACUAAUAGGAAAUCUAGUAAUUUGUGUUUCAACAAACAUACAUGAUUCUUUAGCUAAUAUGUCUGAUAUCCAGAGGAAAGGAAAAAUAAUAGUUCUUGUGCUAAAGAAUACCUUGACUUCAGAAGUCGAGUUCCCAAGCUGAUGGUGCUCCUCUUUUGUUUUAUUAUAUCGUUCUAUUAGUGUUUUCAUGCUGGUAAUACAAUAAAUAAUCCAUGAGUUAGAGAUGGAAGUCCUCUUCCUAUUUCAUAAAUGGAUUAUCAUAUGAAAAACAUAAUGAUAUUUGCAAGAAAUGAAAAUUUAUUGGGAAGACAUGGAAAGUUGAAAAUUUAACAAUUACCUUGCGAGCAUUGUCAAUAGGAUGACCCUAUUUACUCCUAGAUUCCUUUUAAUCUAGUUUUCCCAGAUAGACCUAAACUCUUAAUCUCAUAAAAUAGGCUCUUUACCUUUUCAAGAUUCUCCUCAGAAUUCUAUGGAAGAACUUCAAAUUUGCUGGUAGGUAGAAUGAAAUUUGUAGUCGCAUGAGUACAUUAGAGGGGUGGUAAAUAAGGUUGCCUAACAAUUGAACGAAUCUUUUCAUUAAAGAAAAACCUGAACUAAAUCCAACGACCAGUUUAUCCUACAAUAUCCAAAGUUUAAUUCAAACAAGUAAAUUUUAACAAGUUCACCUAUUAUGCAGAUGGCAAUGAAAUAAUAUUCAGAACUAUGUUCAAAACAAUACAUAGGUCAGCAAUGAAAUUUACAAUUUAUCAAUGAAUUCAUAUUAGAGUAUGAACAGCAAUUAAAUUGAAGAGGUGGGAUAGAGAGUUUAAACACAAAUUUGCGACCUAUGAUGAAACCUAAUUCUCAAUGUGUCUCCAUGAAUAUUUUAGUGCCAGCCAGUUCUUCUUUUGUUGCCUAACUUAUUAUAUGGUGAUAUAGGUUAGCGAAUGGGGCUUUGAUAAUUGAAUAUAUUGUUUUUUCUAAUCUGUAGAGGCAUGCAUCAUGCACUUAAAAUGUCUUUCAGUUGAAUGAUGCAAAUUUUAGGUAUCUACACUAUGGAGUGUCAAGUUGCUCAAAGUAAAGGAUUCCUUGCACUCAUCGGUCAGGUAUGCCUACAUAUUCUUAAAUCUUCCAUGUGUUAGUUGUAUGAUUUAAACCCUAGAAUGUUUAAUCUGAGUUAACGUAAAAUUUUAUGUGAAUAUUUAUGGUGCACUCUUUUACCCUCUUUGUUUUGCCAAUCAUCUUGCUAGUUACAGAAACAGAGAAAUUCAUUAAACUGAAAACAUGACAAAAAAAAAAAUUAAAGAUAAGAGUAUCUCGUAGAAAAUUAUGAUUAUAAGGUUCACUUGGGAAAUCUUCUGUUUUACAUAGGAACUUCAUCAACGAGAUAGAACUGUAAGACAAAAGCUAAAGGAGUUGCAAGAAUCUUCUUCCAUUGGCACAAACCACUCAGAACCAUUACAAAGACCCAAUAACGAACAACAAAAACACUUGAGCAAACAAAACAAAGUGAAACUUGCAAAGAAAGAGUCUAAAUAACCAAACGCAACCUCAAUGGCCGCCCUCAGAAAACAAAGAAGACAACGUCUGAGAACCAUAGAACUCUGAAACAAAAGGCCUGAAAACAGAGCCAAAUAGAAAAAUAGAGGAAAAACUAAGAUUCCUCAACCAAAUAGAAAAACCUGACCCCAUAACACCAAGAGAUAAUCACUGAACCCAAACCUCAAGAGAACAAACAAACAUCAAAAACAAAUUCCUUGUAAGUUCAUGGAAGGAAUUGUACGCAUCUCAAGACCACAAGCAUUUAUAAAAGGAUAUGACUGAUGCAUUAGUAGAGGUAACAAAAAUUCAGUUUUUCCGAAUGACCUGCUCUUCAUUAAAAAGAAUCUUCCAUUCCCUUCCCUUCUAUCUACAAUGCGCAGAAAAUGGUCUUAAUGGCAUAGAGCCUCAUUCAUUCUUAUGUAAAAAAUCCUCAAAGCUUCAUACUUAGGAAGUCAAAGAAAUAGGAAAUAAUAUAAAGAUUCUCGAGAUGAGAUUUGUAUGAAAGGAACCAGGUAUACAACUUUCAAGCUCUCCUAUCUAUCCUUGCCCUUACCAGUUAGCAUACAAACAUCAAACAUACCCAUAAGAGAAAUUCACACCUUGACUUCUUCAUAUGAAGGUUUCUUCCUAGAUAAUAGAUUAAGAUUUCAAGGCAGGCUAAGAGAUGUAGUCUUAAAACCUCUUGUUACCAAAAGGCCCAGUCUUAGGAAAUCUUCACAAAAAUAAACCAAACCCCUCUCAUUGGUUCAUUAAAGGUCUACAACAAUUACCGUUGACUCUAGCAAUUCGAAGAUGGUAAAUAAAGAAUAUAUUCAUAACGUCGUGAAUGGAUUCAUCUGCAAUUUUAAAGGGCA